CGGACCUUUAUUUCGUGGAGUGGCGACAAGAAGCCAAGGCGGGUGGCCAGUCUAAGAAGCCUCCAUCAUCAAGCUAGCAGAAAUCCUACCUCUCCUUCUGGCUACAGAGUACUUACCAAGCCCAUGAAAUCGAAUGCAGAUCUUCCUAAUGUGAGAUUUACAUAAAUAUGUCAAAGUCUCAACCUCAUGCUGCCCUCCCCCAUCCUCCUAAACCUGUGGAUACAAAUGCAGAUUUCCUUAAUGUAAGUUGUGCAUUUUAAUUACAUCAUGUUAUUUUUAUUAUUAUUUAUUUAUUUAUUUUAUUUUACAUUCAAAUAUUUCAAGCUUCUUGGUUAAAGAAGCUUGAUUGCUAGUAGGUAAAGAAUAGUUCACCUAUAAUUCAUAUUCCCAA